UCGGCCGGGAACUCAAAGGAGACUGCCAGUGAUAAACUGGAGGAAGGUGGGGAUGACGUCAAGUCAUCACGGCCCUUACGAGUAGGGCUACACACGAGCUACAAUGGCGCAUACAAAGAGAAGCGACCUCGCGAGAGCAAGCGGACCUCAUAAAGUGCGUCGUAGUCCGGAUUGGA
rnacentral:rRNA from 1 species